CUGCUAUCGGAUUGAUACUAAGCCAUGCGAGUCAUUGCAGUAAUGCAAGGCAGACGGCUCAGUAACGCGUAGUCGACCUACCCUAUGGACGGGAAUAACCUCGGGAAACUGAGUAUAAUGCCCGAUGGAACACUAUACCUGGAAUGGUUUGUGUUCCAAAUGAAUGUCGCCGUAGGAUGGGACUGCGGCCUAUCAGUUUGUUGGUGAGGUAAUGGCCCACCAAGACUAUUACAGGUACGGGCUCUGAGAGGAGUAGCCCGGAGAUGGGUACUGAGACACGGACCCAGGCCCUAUGGGGCGCAGCAGGCGAGAAAACUUUGCAAUGUGCGAAAGCACGACAAGGUUAAUCCGAGUGGUUUGUGCUAAACGAACCUUUUGACAGUCCUAGAAACACUGUUGAAUAAGGGGUGGGCAAGUUCUGGUGUCAGCCGCCGCGGUAAAACCAGCACCUCAAGUGGUCAGGAUGAUUAUUGGGCCUAAAGCAUCCGUAGCCGGCUCUAUAAGUUUUCGGUUAAAUCUGUACGCUCAACGUACAGGCUGCCGGGAAUACUGCAGAGCUAGGGAGUGGGAGAGGUAGACGGUACUCGGUAGGAAGGGGUAAAAUCCUUUGAUCUAUUGAUGACCACCUGUGGCGAAGGCGGUCUACCAGAACACGUCCGACGGUGAGGGAUGAAAGCUGGGGGAGCAAACCGGAUUAGAUACCCGGGUAGUCCCAGCUGUAAACUAUGCAAACUCAGUGAUGCAUUGGCUUGUGGCCAAUGCAGUGCUGCAGGGAAGCCGUUAAGUUUGCCGCCUGGGAAGUACGUACGCAAGUAUGAAACUUAAAGGAAUUGGCGGGGGAGCACCACAAGGGGUGAAGCCUGCGGUUCAAUU
rnacentral:rRNA from 1 species